rnacentral:rRNA from 1 species
CUAAGCCAUGCGAGUCGUUGUAGCAAUACAAGGCAGACGGCUCAGUAACACGUAGCCAAUCUACCCUAUGGACGUGGAUAACCUCGGGAAACUGAGAAUAAUACACGAUAGAUCAUAAUGCCUGGAAUGGUUUAUGAUUAAAAUGAUUUAUCGCCGUAGGAUGGGACUGCGGCCUAUCAGCUUGUUGGUGAGGUAAUGGCCCACCAAGGCUAUAACAGGUACGGGCUCUGAGAGGAGAAGCCCGGAGAUGGGUACUGAGACACGGACCCAGGCCCUAUGGGGCGCAGCAGGCGAGAAACCUUAGCAAUGUGCGAAAGCACGACUAGGUUAAUCCGAGUGAUUUCUGUUGAAGAAAUCUUUUGUCAGUUCUAAAACUACCGAUGAAUAAGGGGUGGGCAAGUCUGGUGUCAGCCGCCGCGGUAAUACCAGCACCUCGAGUGGUCAGGAGGUUUAUUGGGCCUAAAGCAUCCGUAGCCGGCUUUGCAAGUCUCCGGUUAAAUCCAGCUGCCUAACAGAUGGGCUGCCGGAGAUACUACAAAGCUAGGGAGCGGGAGAGGUAGACGGUAUUCGGUGGGUAGGGGUAAAAUCCUCUGAUCCAUUGAGGACCACCAGUGGC